rnacentral:lncRNA from 1 species
CUGGAGUCUGCGUGUCGUAGGAGUUCGUCCGGGAUCUGACCGCUACAGGAGUUCGAUCGGAGUUCGAUCUCCAUAGAAGCCCGGAUGGGGAUCAUUUGUCGAGGGGGCUUGACCGAAGCUUGCCUGCAAUAGAAAUCCAGAAGGAAUUCAUCCACGAUGGAGGCUCGGGUGGAGGCUUACUGUGAGAAUCCGACGCGGACCGCUCGUAGUAGAAAUUUAAAGUAG